rnacentral:rRNA from 1 species
AUUGAACGCUGGCGGCAGGCCUAACACAUGCAAGUCGAGCGGUAGAGCGAAGCUUGCUUCUCUUGAGAGCGGCGGGCGGGUGAGUAAUGCCUAGGAAUCUGCCUGGUAGUGGGGGAUAACGUUCGGAAACGGACGCUAAUACCGCAUACGUCCUACGGGAGAAAGCAGGGGACCUUCGGGCCUUGCGCUCUCAGAUGAGCCUAGGUCGGAGUAGCUAGUUGGUGGGGUAAUGGCUCACCAAGGCGACGAUCCGUAACUGGUCUGAGAGGAUGAUCAGUCGCACGGGAACUGAGACACGGUCCAGACUCCUACGGGAGGCAGCAGUGGGGAAUAGUGGACAAUGGGCGAAAGCCUGAUCCAGCCAUGCCGCGUGUGUGAAGAAGGUCUUCGGAUUGUAAAGCACGUUAAGUUGGGAGGAAGGGCAGUAAAUUAAUACGUUGCUGUUGUGACGUUACCGACAGAAUAAGCACCGGCUAACUCUGUG